rnacentral:rRNA from 1 species
AUUGAACGCUGGCGGCAGGCCUAACACAUGCAAGUCGCGCGGAGCGGCGGACGGGUGAGUAAUGCCUAGGAAUCUGCCUGGUAGUGGGGGAUACCGUCCGGAAACGGGCGCUAAUACCGCAUACUCUCAGAUGAGACUAGGUCGGAUUCGCUAGGUGGUGGGGUAAAGGCCUACCAAGGCGACGAUCCGUAACUGGUCUGAGCGGAUGAUCAGUCACACUGGAACUGAGACACGGUCCCGACUCCGACGGGAGGCAGCAGUGGGGAAGAUUGGACAAUGGGCUAAACCCUGAUUCCACCAGGCCGCGUGUGUGAAGAAGGUCUUCGGAUUGGAAAGCACUGUAAGUUGGGAGGCGUUACCAACAGAAUAAGCACCGGCUAACUUCGUGCCAGCCGCCGCGGUAAUAC